CUACGUGUGAAACAUUGUUCAACUCUGUAAUGGAGUUAGAACAUCACAAGGAGAGUUUAGAACAUUGGUCUGAAGAUGAGUGGGAGGAAGAAGAUGAGGAUGGAGGUUGGGAGGAUGAAAUACAGAUUCUUGAAACAUGUUUCGGGGUAACUGAGGAGGAUCUUCUACUCUCCUAUGCUCAAUAAAGAAAACAUAUUUUUCUAAUUCUUCUAAAUUUAUUUGAAUAAAUUCUAUGAUAUUCCUUUUCAGAUAAUAAAGAUUGAAUGAGA